rnacentral:misc_RNA from 1 species
AAUAUAUAUAUAUAUAUAUAUAACUGUAUCUUUUCAGAAUUUGGUUCACACAACUAAAUAGCAUAACAUUUUGAAUUAAGACCUUGAAUCAACUUUUAGACACUAAUUGACAAUAUUAAUCAUAUAUAAUUUACAAAUGGAACUCAAGGAAAGAAUACCCACAAUCUAUUGAACCCAUUACACAACAGACAAAAGAAAUAUAGUAGCUACUUAAGGCAUAAAAACUAACCUCAGCACUAGCUCAAUUGAGCUAGAAUGAAGAAAAAUUUGAAUACAUGGAUUUUAACCUAUAUUCAUACAAAAUACCUAAAAUCUCCAUCAUAUUUGUUCCACUAGUCCGUCAUAUAAUUACAUAUAAACAUGGAAAAUAUUAAUAUAUCACAGUUUAGAUGCGUACCUUAUUUGAAAAAACCAAUUGCUCUUAACUUACAAUGUUAAAAAAUGAGUCUAUAAAACCAAAAAGUCAAUUGCACUACUACUUAUUUUUUAUAAUUUUAUUGCAUCCAUUAGAAAUAUGACCUUUUGGCCUAUUUAUACUUUUGUAUGCUACAAGUUUUAACCUUUAAUCAAUGUACAUGACAUUUGGAUUUUGUCACCUUUAACUAAUGUAAAUAACUUUUGGAUUUUUCCACCUUUUGGCAAUGUACAUGACUUUUGGAUUUUGCCACUUUUUGGCAAAUGUAUGUAACUGUUCAUGCCAUUGUUCUUUAUUCUGAUUUUAAGUAUAAUGUAUCUGGAUUGACCCAAAUAGGUGACCUGGACCAUAUUUCCAACAUAGAAGAUAGAUUAAGAGGGGAGAGAUGCAAUGAGCAUGAGAUUGAGAAGGACAAGCUUGAUGAAGAUGGUGAAAUGUUAACUCUCCCAGGAAGCUUUGCUGCAUUGCACACUCAGCUUAGUCCUUUACCUUGUGAAGUGUCUCACACA